AUGCCGUUUCUACCUUCUAAAAAGACAACUGUGUGCCGUUUUGUGCUCCACUUGUUAAAACAACGUGUCGUUUGUGUACGACUAAAAAAUUUAGUCAAAGAAGUCAGAGUUCGUCGUAUCAAAAAAGUUUCCUUCUUUUGGGGCUACUAUUCUUCAAUCUUCAGUUCAGUCUCUCCGACUCCCCAAUUUCCAACACUCACAAGGAUAAUUUACUCGGAUGAAUUCGUCGCUGAUGGCUGCAAGUGGCGUCUUAUGGCCUUCCCUGAAGGAAAUGGUACUGCUGAUGUGUCUGUAGCCAGAGCUCCUCUCUCGUUCGAUGAUGUUGUUUAACGGCUUUUAUCUUCUUGGUCUUAUAUAUAGUUCUGAUAAGCUGCUUAGGUUGGAUGUUAUAUAUUUCGUGGUUUUGAUGAGCCGUUCUUUAAUGCAUUGUGUUUCUUGUAAGAAGUAAUGUGGUUCCUGGACGACUCGAUAGUUUGUGGUUUACUUCAAGUUUGUUUAUGGAGUAUUUCUUUUUGAGAUAUUUCGGUCUCUCUUUUCUAUUAAGCAAAGAGAUGGGUUAAAUUGAUCAAUGACCUUGAGUAUU